UACGUAGGGGGCUAGCGUUGUCCGGAAUCAUUGGGCGUAAAGCGCGUGUAGGCGGUCCGGUAAGUCGGUUGUGAAAGUCCAGGGCUCAACCCUGGGAUGCCGACCGAUACUGUCGGACUAGAGUUCGGAAGAGGCGAGUGGAAUUCCCGGUGUAGCGGUGAAAUGCGCAGAUAUCGGGAGGAACACCUAUGGCGAAGGCAGCUCGCUGGGACGUUACUGACGCUGAGACGCGAAAGCGUGGGGAGCAAACAGG
rnacentral:rRNA from 1 species